AUUGAACGCUGGCGGCAGGCCUAACACAUGCAAGUCGAACGGUAACAGGAAGAAGCUUGCUUCUUUGCUGACGAGUGGCGGACGGGUGAGUAAUGUCUGGGAAACUGCCUGAUGGAGGGGGAUAACUACUGGAAACGGUAGCUAAUACCGCAUAACGUCGCAAGACCAAAGAGGGGGACCUUCGGGCCUCUUGCCAUCGGAUGUGCCCAGAUGGGAUUAGCUAGUAGGUGGGGUAACGGCUCACCUAGGCGACGAUCCCUAGCUGGUCUGAGAGGAUGACCAGCCACACUGGAACUGAGACACGGUCCAGACUCCUACGGGAGGCAGCAGUGGGGAAUAUUGCACAAUGGGCGCAAGCCUGAUGCAGCCAUGCCGCGU
rnacentral:rRNA from 1 species